GUUAUGGCAUUACACAAGUUGGCAUUGUGUUCACCAUUGAUUCAUACAAUUGGUCAUCACGCUUGGUUGAAAAGCCAGUGACGCAAAGCUACUAUGUGCUGUAUUAUGAUUGAAUGCCUCUAAGUUAGAAUCUGGGAUAAAAGUAUAACAUACACCUGUCGUCUCCUUUCUAACCCGCAGUUAAGGGCCUUGUCCCCCAAAGCAUGUGUCAUUGGCAAAGCCACCAUGGAGGAAGGGUCGCGCUGGCUGCCUUAAAGUAUAAUUUCCAUCGAGUGGUAGGUAGAAUCCCUUGCAGACAACUUAAAUAUGUGAUGGGGUAUUGUAAGUAGUAGAGUAGCCUUGCUUCCAUGAUUCACUGAGAUUCAGGCAUAUGUCACUCUGGUUU
rnacentral:ncRNA from 1 species